ACAAAUUUCCUAUCCUGACACAGGGAGGUAGUGACAAGAAAUAACAAUACAGGGCGAAUGUCUUGUAAUUGGAAUGAUGGUGACCCAAACCCUCACCAGAGUAGCAAUUGGAGGGCAAGUCUGGUGCCAGCAGCCGCGGUAAUUCCAGCUCCAAUAGCGUAUAUUAAACUUGUUGCAGUUAAAAAGCUCGUAGUUGUAUUUUUGCGUUGACGGUUUGACCAUUUGGUUGGUUAUUUCGUUUUCGCUUUUGGGAAUUUCCCUUUUUACUUUGAGAAAAUUAGAGUGUUUCAAGCAGACUUUUGUCUUGAAUACUUCAGCAUGGAAUAAUAGAGUAGGACUUUGGUUCUAUUUUGUUGGUUAUUGAACCUUAGUAAUGGUUAAUAGGAACGGUUGGGGGCAUUCGUAUUUAAA
rnacentral:rRNA from 1 species